CGCUCAGAUUGCGCAUUAUAGAAAAACCUGAAAUCUAACAAUAAGAACAUCUUAAUUGUUAUAAAUAAAGAACGUCUCCAUCAAACUUGUGAAAUACUUAAUAAUAAAUGAAAAUCUGCAGCCAAAAUGUUACAGAACUUAUAAAAACAUGGGGUCCACUAGAAUCUGGCGAGAGUGCUGUGGAACUUCGAAAGUUCGGGGCUUCGGGCAUAAUCGCUUGUCUGCUACCGAAUGUCGGGUUUACUUCCGAAUGUUAAAAUGAAAAGAGUUUUAUAAUUAAAGAAAACAAAUAGAAAAGAAAAGAAACAUUUCUGCUGUAAGUCCGCAUAUCUCGUUGAUCUUCGAAGCUAACAUUUGGCUCGAAAACUUCCAUAAAUCUCUACAUAUUGGUGAAAUGACGUAAUGCGUCUUCCAUAUCAAAAGCAAGUUGACGUCAAAAAUUACCAUUUGAGCAUCUGUACAGUAUGGUUCUUAUAAGGACCAAGUGCAAUAUGCUAAGGCUACGUAAGACUGUCUCGUUGGCACAGGUAGUGUACUGAAGUGACAAAAACUGAUCUUCAACUACAAAUGAGUCUGUGCAUCCCCAAAAAGAAUAAAUUAUCUUUCUAUUCUGUAGACUUACAAAUGCUGAAACGCGUAAGCUGAUCAAUCGGAUAUGUUUCGUCCAUCCGACUUAGGGUAAAUAUCAAAUCUUCACAUAAUUUGAUUAUGUGACAUUAAUAUUAGAAAUUAGUUAAUGAACUAAACGACGUACUAAUAUACAGAUAUUUGAAGGAAACAUAAUUUAUUUAAACCCAUAUUAAUACAUUCAGGUUUAUGAACUGUACUAAAUUUAACUAUGUAUCUAUAGAUACAUAACCUUAGUUAGAAAUUAAAAAGU